GGGGACGACAUGGCUUCGACGUGGAUUGCAAAACUUAAGGGGCAUGCCGAGUGAUGAUAUCUACACUCGUUAAUCAGAGAUAUUACUUUUAUAAUUGGCGAAGCUAAAGCUGCCAACGAUGCUGACAUCACUGUAGCUGCUAACGACUCUGUCGUUGCUGCUGAUGUCAAAGCUGCCUAAGAAACAGCACAUCGACGUUGUCUGAGUCCGCUUGUAGACCCAGGGUUUCAACGUUCAUCUUUUUACAAGCUCGCGACUUUAAUGUGUCUGUGCAUUAAACGCUAAAACCUAAGCAGACUCGCGAAGUGGUGCCAGGUUCAUCGGGCUAAACUAAGUUAAAUAUAAUAGGUGAACUAAGCAUGUAGAUCCGAGAGUGGAGGAUUUACGGACGCGGGUUCGAUUCCCGCCGUCUCCACCA
rnacentral:tmRNA from 1 species